GGGCUGGGUUUAUUAGGGUCUGACCUGCCCACUGAUUUAUUUAAUGGCCGCGGUAUUUUGACCGUGCAAAGGUAGCAUAAUAAUUUGUCUUUUAAUUGAAGGCUUGUAUGAAUGGUUGGACGAGAAAGCAACUUUCUUUAUAAUAAAAUGAUUAAUUUUAUUUUUUAGUUAAAAAGCUAAAAUGUUGUUGUAGGACGAGAAGACCCUAUAGAACUUUAUAAUUAUUUAUAUAUUAAUAUUUUUAGUUAAUAAUAUAUUGUAUUUUUAUAAUUAUUUUGUUGGGGCGACAAGAAAAUUUAUUUAACUUUUUUUCACCAAUUUCAUUAAUUAAUGUAUAAAUGAUCCUUUAUUAAAGAUAAUUAGAAUAAGUUACCUUAGGGAUAACAGCGUAAUUUUUUUGGAGAGUUCUUAUCGAUAAAAAAGUUUGCGA
rnacentral:rRNA from 1 species